GAUGAACGCUAGCGGCAGGCUUAACACAUGCAAGUCGAGGGGUAUAGUAGCAAUACUAGAGACCGGCGCACGGGUGCGUAACGCGUAUGCAAUCUACCUUUCACAGAGGGAUAGCCCAGAGAAAUUUGGAUUAAUACCUCAUAGUAUAGUAUCUUGGCAUCAAGGAACUAUUACAGUCACAACGGUGAAAGAUGAGCCUGCGUCCCAUUAGUUAGUUGGUAAGGUAACGGCUUACCAAGACUACGAAGGGUAGGGGUCCUGAGAGGGAGAUCCCCCACACUGGAACUGAGACACGGACCAGACUCCUACGGGAGGCAGCAGUGAGGAAUAUUGGACAAUGGGCGCAAGACUGAUCCAGCCAUGCCGCGUGCAGGAUGACGGUCCUAUGGAUUGUAAACUGCUUUUGUACAGGAAAAAACACCCCGACGUGUCGGGACUUGACGGUACUGUAAGAAUAAGGAUCGGCUAACUCCGUGCCAGCAGCCGCGGUAA
rnacentral:rRNA from 1 species